CCUACGGGUGGCAGCAGUGGGGAAUAUUGGACAAUGGGCGAAAGCCUGAUCCAGCCAUGCCGCGUGUGUGAAGAAGGCCUUCGGGUUGUAAAGCACUUUCAGUGGGGAAGAAAGCCUUGGGGCUAAUACCCUCGAGGAAGGACAUCACCCACAGAAGAAGCACCGGCUAACUCCGUGCCAGCAGCCGCGGUAAUACGGAGGGUGCGAGCGUUAAUCGGAAUUACUGGGCGUAAAGCGCGCGUAGGCGGUCUGAUAAGCCGGUUGUGAAAGCCCCGGGCUCAAACUGGGAACGGCAUCCGGAACUGUCAAGCUAGAGUGCAGGAGAGGAAGGUAGAAUUCCCGGUGUAGCGGUGAAAUGCGUAGAGAUCGGGAGGAAUACCAGUGGCGAAGGCGGCCUUCUGGACUGACACUGACGCUGAGGUGCGAAAGCGUGGGUAGCAAACAGGAUUAGAUACCCGGGUAGUC
rnacentral:rRNA from 1 species